rnacentral:tRNA from 1 species
GGGGCUGUAGCUCAGUGGCAGAGCGCUUGCCUCACACGUAUGAAGUACUGGGUUGGAUCUUCAGCACCA